UAGUUGACUGACAAUGACAAAGGCUUGCGAAACUAAGUAGGGCCUUUUGAAUUGAAUCUUAAGUAGUCUAUCAGUGGUGCGAAGCGGCUUUGCCCCUUUUCAGUAGGGGAGCGAAAGGUUAGACCUUAGAAAGUCAGCGAACAGCGGUUCUUCUAUGUAGGUAUAGGUAUGGCGUUCCCUCUUGACUCUCCUAACGUCGAGCUAAGUGACUUCGUAACCUUUGCGUAGCGUAGUAGAAUGAAGGCUACGCACCGACGCUCUCUUAUCUAUUAGCCUAAGCGUCUUCGCUAACUCGCUCGCCUAUUAUACUACACCCUACUAUACAAU
rnacentral:misc_RNA from 1 species